CCUACGGGUGGCAGCAGUGAGGAAUAUUGGUCAAUGGGCGUAAGCCUGAACCAGCCAAGUCGCGUGAGGGAUGAAGGAUCUAUGGUUCGUAAACCUCUUUUAUAAGGGAAUAAAGUGUGGGACGCGUCCCGCUUCGCAUGUACCUUAUGAAUAAGGAUCGGCUAACUCCGUGCCAGCAGCCGCGGUAAUACGGAGGAGCCGAGCGUUAUCCGGAUUUAUUGGGUUUAAAGGGUGCGUAGGCGGCCUUUUAAGUCAGCGGUGAAAGUCUGUGGCUCAACCAUAGAAUUGCCGUUGAAACUGGGGGGCUUGAGUAUGUUUGAGGCAGGCGGAAUGCGUGGUGUAGCGGUGAAAUGCAUAGAUAUCACGCAGAACCCCGAUUGCGAAGGCAGCCUGCCAAGCCAUGACUGACGCUGAUGCACGAAAGCGUGGGGAUCGAACAGGAUUAGAUACCCUGGUAGUC
rnacentral:rRNA from 1 species